GACAGAGGGUGCAAACGUUGUUCGGAAUUACUGGGCGUAAAGCGCGUGUAGGCGGCCAUCUAAGUCGGGCGUGAAAUCCCUCGGCUUAACCGGGGAACUGCGUCUGAUACUGGAUGGCUGGAGUUUGGGAGAGGGAUGCGGAAUUCCAGGUGUAGCGGUGAAAAUGCGUAGAUAUCUGGAGGAACACCGGUGGCGAAGGCGGCAUCC
rnacentral:rRNA from 1 species